rnacentral:rRNA from 1 species
GACGAACGCUGGCGGCGUGCUUAACACAUGCAAGUCGAACGAAGUGGCGAACGGGUGAGUAAUACGUGAGUAACCUGCCCUCCUUUUUGGGAUCAGCCUUGGAAACGGGGUCUAAUACCGAAUCAAGGGGGAUGGGCUCGCGGCCUAUCAGCUUGUUGGUGGGGUGAUGGCCUACCCAUGCGGUGACGGGUAGCCGGCCUGAGAGGGUGACCGGCGACAUUGGGAAUGGUAUACGGGCCAAACUGCUACAGGAGGGAGCAGUGGGGGAGAUUGCACAAUAGGCGGAAGCGUGAUGGAGCGGCGCCGGGUGGGGGAUGAAGGCUUUCGGGGUGUAAAACGUUUUCGCUAUCGAAAGGGUAGGAUGAGAAGAAGCGCCGGCUAACUACGUGCCAGCCGCCGCGGUAAUAC